GGUGGGAUGCCGGAGUGGUCGAACGGGGCGGUUUCGAAAACCGCUGUGCUGGCAACAGUACCGGGGGUUCGAAUCCCUCUCCCACCG
rnacentral:tRNA from 1 species